AAUCUUUUUUUAUUAGUUUUUAAAUGCAUAUUUUCCGCUUUUCCAUGUAAACCGUUCUAAUAACAGUAUUAUUAUUGGUGUUACACCACGAUUUAGAUACGAAAUAGAUAAGUUAAAAUGUUCUAGGAGACAUUUUAUCCCUUCAACUACUAAAAGUAGUUUUUUUACAUGAAGUCUGGUGUUCCAUUGUAAAUCUUGUUUUAUUGAACGGUUUGUUUAGUGUUGCUGUGUUUAUACGUAAUAUCAAUGCUAGUUUCACAUUAUGAAUUACUGUAGUUAAUAAAGGUUCAGGUUCUGCGUGUACUUCAUUCUCCACUAUUUAAUAGAAAAUAGUUUCCAAAGCUACCUUUUCUUAGCAUUAGAGCCUCAGUUACAGACGGAAAAUGUUAAUAUGUAAAUUUAUUUAAGCAGAAUUUGGAAACGGUGAUGUUUUACUCUUCUGGGUGCGGUGGGAGCCUGAGGAUGUUCUCAGACUGGGUGUGGUCUCUGUUAAUGUAGAAUAUUUACAGAGGCAGGGAAUUAAACAAGUAAAGUAGAAACUUGCAAAAUUUAAAUAAAUAUAUGUGUUAACGUAACACAACUGCAGGUUUAUAUGACCUGAGGUUAUCUGACUGCCCGUGAACAGAAAGACGUUAGAGAUGUAAAACGUGUCUGUGUGUCCAAAUCUGCUCGAUGAGCUGCUCCGUACUUUUAAUUUAAAACCAACAUCGCCGUGAAAGUAGUAAACUGGCUGGAAAUAGUCUGUUGGCGAUGAAUCUGUGAGCCCAGGUGCAGUAAACUGUUAACUGGCCAAACCCUGGCUAACUGCUUGGAACGUUGGCUAACCAAAAGUCAGCCUAGCUAAAGGCUAAAGCUAAAUGUAAUGAAUAGUUGAAUGUUGAACUUCAGCUGGCUAAAAUUCACAUAAACGGUUGAGUUGUCAAUUAAACAUUUGGAAACAAAUAUUGGCUAAAAUAUUAAAGACACUGUUAACGGUAGCGUUUAGCUUUAGAAAAAAAACACUUUAAAUCGUUAGCUAACGGCUGUUUUUUUAGCUUAAAGCUAUAGGGGGUCUGUAAAAUGUUAGCUAAACGCGCUGAUUAACGGUCACGUGGUUGUUCAGAGCUUUGAGCCGCAUGUUCAGUAGUUAGCCUCACACCAGCACAGCGUGGAUAAAGGCUGCACAGAAGUGACUAGUCAAUUUACCCUGCGCCCAUCCCAGGAUUUAUCCUCCCACCAUCAUCAGGUUGAAGCCUGUUAUUUGGGCUGCGUCAGGCCUCAACCUGCCGGCAGUUGCAUGACAAAUUCCACACGCUGUACACAUCCAUGUUCUGCCCGAGUCCCAAAUUCCACCUCUGCAGGGCAUCUGGGGCAGCGAGGCCUGUUGUUGCACUGUGUGAGGAUGUUUCGGGAUGUUACUGUCCAGGUGUGUGACUUCUGUAGAGAUCUGAUGGUUUCAGGUCAACAUGUUCCGGCCUACUGAAGUUUCCCUAAGCAUCAGGUAGCAAAAAUGACACGGCGGCUCAGUUUGGCCGCCAGCUGCUUUCACAUCCAGAUGUGGAGUUGGAAGCAGACGUCGGUCUGGACCUGGGGAAAAAUAAGUAAAUAUAUGUAGCUUUGCUUGAGCAUAAUUAUCAUCAGGGUGUGAGACUUUAUUAAGAAAAAUGUUAAAAAUGCUAAAGGUUGCAGUGAUUCAGACACCAAUUGUGCCAACACAGUUUGUUGCACUGUCAUUUGUACAACAUGAAUACAAUUUGCUUUAUUAGCCCUUCCUGGAACAGGUUUGUCUCAUUUGAAUUCACCGAGGCACAGUGGUUGACCAUCAUCCUCAAAGAUAUUGACUUAAUUUGCUUCAAAUCCAUGCACAACCCAACAACAUUUGCACAACACAACAGAGGUGUGUUCUAUGUGGCUCUAUGACUUGAAGGCACCUUCUGUUAGCUCGUUUACGUUGCCAUCUAGCUGCAUGGAAGUCAUAUUUCACCUUUUUUUAGUUGCAUCUGGUAACACGUAGUUAUGCUCAUGUUGAGUUACUAAUGUAAUGUUAUGAGUAAAAACACCAUUUUCUGGAACAUUUAUUUUUCCUCUUGUGAUCUGGCGCCCUGUGGUGUUAAACGAGGGUUAUUUCCGUUUCCCAAAGCAGACACCAAAUCAUGGUGUAAUUGUUGUGAAUUAAACCUUUGACCUUUUCCUUUAAGGCAUUUUAACAUGUUCCGUAUUUAAGAAUUGCUGCUUUAAGUGUUCUUUUAUUCUCUGAUUUGAGGUAAUAAUUGUAGAAUAUUUGAGGCUGAAGCUCUGAUCUGUAGGUUUUGUGACUGACAGCUAGGGGGCAGUAGAUGGCUGAGAAAGCGGAGUAGUUCUAACUAUAUAACUCGGGGGUCUAACCCCGGUCCUCCAGUGCCACAGUCCUGCUGCUUUUCCAACUCUCCCUGUCCCAGCUAAUACUGAUCACCUUGAAUAGGUGUGUUUAUCCAAUCAGCAGCUAACUGACACACCUGAUGAAGGUAACCAGGAGGGAGAGUUGGAAAACGAGCAGGACAGUAGCUGUCAAGGACGGGGGUAGGACACCCCUGAUCUACCUCAGAUCAUCAUAUCUAACUGUUGUUUGCAGAGGUGCUCUUUGUCAUACAAAUGUAAUGGUUGUUGAACGCAGCAUCACUCUCACAUGACCUUUGCCGGCAGGAGUGCCUCCAGGUUCUUCCCUGAAGCCAUUCUUUAAAGAAAUCUGCUGAAAACAUGCCACAGUCAGCAGGGGUUACAACAGAAGCAUCUUGAGAUUUCCUGUUACACCCCUUUGUUCACUGUUUUCAAGUAUCUAAAACUCCAGAACUGUGCACAGAUGGUUAUAAACCACCUGAGAGAAACCCUUGCCUCUCAGUAGACAAAUGUUAAGGUUCUUUUCUAUCUUUUGUCUUUUGGUCGUGGUUUCAUGCCUGUUUUAUAGUUCAUGGCUACAGUGAAUCAGUGAUCAGUUGACACAGUCCUCAUACAUGUUAAUCAGUUGUGUAACUUUGGCUGUUUUCUGUCUGUUAGUAGCUCUCUCACUUUCUGGUCAUUUAUGAUGUAGUUGUUGUUAAUCAGGAUGAGUCAGCAGCAGAAUGUAGAAGACGGGCAGUCUGAUGCUGGCAGGCGGUAAAAGGUGUUGGACAACAAGGCAGUUCAGUUUCAUCAAGUGUCUGUACUGUCACACAAAGAUGUAAUACUUGGAUUGUGCUCUAGAAUAAAUGUUACUUGUAUAAGUGAGAUCUCAUGAGAAGAAAUAGAAAAGCCCAUAAUGAUUGUCACAUAAUUGUCAGCUGAGUUUGAGCUUGGGUGUGCCCGAAACCUGUGGAACAAGGUGUGGGCUUGUUUGCAUGUAAAGGUUUGAGUGUUCUUAAAGCUCUGUAAUAAAUGAAGUUGUUGUCCCUAAUUAUCCUUAAUUGAAAUAACCUGUCAGACAAGGGGAUAAAAAUGUAGCGCAGCUGUGCAAAGUUUGGCUUUGUAAAAUACAAAAUAAGCCAGUUAUACGUCACAAUGACUUUAAAACUAUUUUCUGUGUUUAAGUGACGUCUGACGUAAUGGACACUUAUUUCAUGAUUCAGUUCGCAGCUAAAGCUCAGGAGCUACUUAGGUGGAAAAAAACAGAGUGCUGAGUCAACACAGCAAACAGUCUGGUAAAAAAAAAAGAUCCUUUCUCUGAAACAAUGGAGUUAAAUAUUUAAUCAACUAUCAAUGUAGCUCUAUAUGUUUACUGACAGCAUGCAGCUCUGCUCCACUCUCUAAUCCUUGGGACUGUGGUUGUUUUUUGAAUACUGCUCUGAUUAAAGUGAACGUGGAGCUAAUGGGGCGACUUGCUCUUAUUUUGAUCUAGUUAAAUACUGUUACUGUUAUGUCACACUUUGAUUAGCGAGUUGUUGUUACUAAUUGUGUAGUGAGCCCAUGGUU